UGCAAGCCGAUCAAAUUUGAACAAGACACAUGUUCGUUCAUGACGUAAUAAAUGUCCCUCAAAAAAUGAGUAUAUAAAAACGUCCAGCUCCACUUCAAUCAUUAUCAUUCAACGACGAUUAGCAGCAAUAACAAAAUGUUCCAGCAAAAAUUCUUCCUCUUUGUCGUCGUCUUUGCCGUCAUGGCUAUUAUUUAUGCCACCGGUGCACCCACUGACGUAGAAGAUCCGUCGGAGAAUGACGAAACUUUCUGCCGACCAUUCUCUUCGUGCUCGAGCAGCACUGAUUGUGCCAGCUUUACCAUCUACAGGACCUGUCGCACUCGUUUGUUUGGCAACAAGCAAUGCUGCCUGUUUUAAACGUCAGAAUUGUACUGAUUUUGCGUUCAUUCGCGUUGAUUGUGUAGGACACUAGAAUGCCAUAACAAAUCGUAAUGGUCUCAAUUGGAAUACACUGCUUUAAAAUCAAA